CCAGCCGUAAACGAUGGGUACUAGGUGUUGGUGGAGUCAUUCAUCAGUGCCGGAGUUAACACAUUAAGUAUCCCGCCUGGGGAGUACGGCCGCAAGGUUGAAACUCAAAGGAAUUGACGGGGGCCCGCACAAGCAGUGGAGCAUGUGGUUUAAUUCGAAGCAACGCGAAGAACCUUACCGGGGCUUGACAUCUGGCGGAUUUGGUAGAAAUACCGAAGUGCCGCAAGGCAACGCCAAGACAGGUGG
rnacentral:rRNA from 1 species